CAACCCGAUGCAAACUGCGAAUACCGGAGAAUGUUAUCACGGGAGACACACGGCGGGUGCUAACGUCCGUCGUGAAGAGGGAAACAACCCAGACCGCCAGCUAAGGUCCCAAAGUCAUGGUUAAGUGGGAAACGAUGUGGGAAGGCCCAGACAGCCAGGAUGUUGGCUUAGAAGCAGCCAUCAUUUAAAGAAAGCGUAAUAGCUCACUGGUCGAGUCGGCCUGCGCGGAAGAUGUAACGGGGCUAAACCAUGCACCGAAGCUGCGGCAGCGACGCUGAUGCGUUGUUGGGUAGGGGAGCGUUCUGUAAGCCUGCGAAGGUGGCCUGUGAGGGUUGCUGGAGGUAUCAGAAGUGCGAAUGCUGACAUAAGUAACGAUAAAGCGGGUGAAAAGCCCGCUCGCCGGAAGACCAAGGGUUCCUGUCCAACGUUAAUCGGGGCAGGGUGAGUCGACCCCUAAGGCGAGGCCGAAAGGCGUAGUCGAUGGGAAACGGGUUAAUAUUCCCGUACUUGGUGUUACUGCGAAGGGGGGACGGAGAAGGCUAUGUUGGCCGGGCGACGGUUGUCCCGGUUUAAGCGUGUAGGUGUGUGUUCCAGGUAAAUCCGGUUCACUUUAACACUGAGGCGUGAUGACGAGGCACUACGGUGCUGAAGCAACAAAUGCCCUGCUUCCAGGAAAAGCCUCUAAGCAUCAGGUAACAUCAAAUCGUACCCCAAACCGACACAGGUGGUCAGGUAGAGAAUACCAAGGCGCUUGAGAGAACUCGGGUGAAGGAACUAGGCAAAAUGGUGCCGUAACUUCGGGAGAAGGCACGCUGACACGUAGGUGAAGUGAUUUACUCAUGGAGCUGAAGUCAGUCGAAGAUACCAGCUGGCUGCAACUGUUUAUUAAAAACACAGCACUGUGCAAACACGAAAGUGGACGUAUACGGUGUGACGCCUGCCCGGUGCCGGAAGGUUAAUUGAUGGGGUCAGCGCAAGCGAAGCUCCUGAUCGAAGCCCCGGUAAACGGCGGCCGUAACUAUAACGGUCCUAAGGUAGCGAAAUUCCUUGUCGGGUAAGUUCCGACCUGCACGAAUGGCGUAAUGAUGGCCAGGCUGUCUCCACCCGAGACUCAGUGAAAUUGAACUCGCUGUGAAGAUGCAGUGUACCCGCGGCAAGACGGAAAGACCCCGUGAACCUUUACUAUAGCUUGACACUGAACAUUGAGCCUUGAUGUGUAGGAUAGGUGGGAGGCUUUGAAGUGUGGACGCCAGUCUGCAUGGAGCCGACCUUGAAAUACCACCCUUUAAUGUUU
rnacentral:rRNA from 1 species